rnacentral:sRNA from 1 species
UUUUAAAGAAUAAUUUAGUUACUUUGUUUUUGCUCUAGUAAGACCAAUACUUAGGAAAGAGUUACCAAUUAAAUUAUCUUAGAAUUGGUAUAAAUAGGGUAAAAUAGUUGGAAUAAUUUUCCAUGAUUAAUUUGUAUUAAAAAAUUGACAAAACAGUUUUAAAGACUUGAAGACCUUUAUUUCCUAAGUAGAACAUGUAUUUUCUAAGUGGGAAAAUAAUGAGAAAUAUUCAUUAGUGAACCCUUUUUUAAUUGUAUAAGGUAAGAAUUUCAGCCUUGUUUUAAUCAGAACGAUCACAGAUCUCAGUGAACUAAGAAUUAAUGAAGUAUUAUUUUAGUUUUUUUUUAAUCUCUUCGUGUACUUGCAUUUAAUUUAACGCGUAUUUUUGCUACUGUGUCAGUUCUCUCAGUGAAAUAGAAGAUUCCCUCCCUCCUGGUAAAGCAGUGUUUUAUACAUGGGCUGAUCCGGUGGGCUCUAGAAGGCUGAAGUGGAGAUGUAGAAAAAGCCAUGGUGAAGUAACACAGAAGGAUGAUAUGAUGAUGCCUAUAGAUUUGGGGGAAAAGACAAUAUAUUUAGUUUCAUUCUUUGAAGGUUUACAACGCAUUAUUUUAUUCACUGAAGAUCCAAGGGUAUUUAAAGUAGCAUAUGAAAGUGAGAAAGCAGAGUUAGCAGAGCAAGAAAUUGCAGUGGCAUUACAAGAUGUUGGAAUUUCUCUUGUCAACAAUUACACGAAGCAAGAAGUAGCCUAUAUAG